rnacentral:rRNA from 1 species
GACGAACGCUGACGGCGUGCUUAACACAUGCAAGUCGAACGGUGAAGCGCCUUCCUUUUUGGUGGGUGUGGAUGAGUGGCGAACGGGUGAGUAACACGUGAGUAACCUGCCCCCUUCUUCUGGAUAACCGCAUGAAAGUGUGGCUAAUACGGGAUAUUCUGGGUCUGUCGCAUGAUGGGUCUGGGAAAGAUAUUGUUUCGGUGGGGGAUGGGCUCGCGGCCUAUCAGCUUGUUGGUGGGGUGAUGGCCUACCAAGGCGGUGACGGGUAGCCGGCCUGGGAGGGUGGACGGUCACACUGGGACUGAGACACGGCCCAGACUCCUACGGGGGGCAGAAGUGGGGAAUAUUGCACAAUGGGCGCAAGCCUGAUGCAGCGACGCCGCGUGAGGGAUGGAGGCCUUCGGGUUGUGAACCUCUUUCGCCAGUGAAGCAGGCCUGCCCCGUUUGUGGGUGGGUUGACGGUAGCUGGAUAAGAAGCGCCGGCUAACUACGUG